rnacentral:misc_RNA from 1 species
UUCCCCGUGUUCUUCCCUAUAGAAUCGCCUCUUUAUCAUCUUCUUAACAGUCCGGAUUUCCAAUUGGAGGAUAGCCGACGGCUAGUCACAGAGAGAGCGAGAGAGAGAGAGAGAGNNNGGUUUUGGGUUUACUGUUUACGGGAUGCAAACUGAGGGAGACAAGUCAAGAAGUUGAGUUCGGGUAUGGUGGAAACCCGGCCUACCGUUGGUGAAGCCCAUUUACGAGGGCUUAGAAUUGGCUCGGGCGCCUUCUUUUC